rnacentral:rRNA from 1 species
UACGUAGGGUGCAAGCGUUGUCCGGAAUUAUUGGGCGUAAAGAGCUCGUAGGCGGUUUGUUGCGUCGGCUGUGAAAUCCCGAGGCUCAACCUCGGGUCUGCAGUCGAUACGAGCAAACUAGAGUGUUGCAGGGGAGACUGGAAUUCCUGGUGUAGCGGUGAAAUGCGCAGAUAUCAGGAGGAACACCGGUGGCGGAGGCGGGUCUCUGGGCAACAACUGACGCUGAGGAGCGAAAGCGUGGGGAGCGAACAGG